UCGGCGAAAUUAAUUUAACAAUAUUAUUGCCACCAAUAAAAGAUUAGUAACAGAUUAUAUGAGAUAUCGAAAAAAACUGGCCUCUUCGUUUCCAGGUAUCACUCUCAUCGCAUUUGCAGCAAUUACAUAUCUUCUCUCUUUUGCUCUCAAAUUUGUUGCAUUUAGGAAUUUAAUUUACUCCGCUGGCCCGAAUCGAUGUGUAUACCGUGAAAUUGAGGGAUUUUCAGUUACUGUUGCUGGAUAUCUAGACUAGCUGGAUCAUUUGUGAUAAUCGGGGGUGCUUUUGAUGGACUAUGAACUCCAUCCCAUUUUUGCUACAAAAAGAUAUUUGUAAUCACGUUAAUUUUUUGCUAUUGUUAUUCAACAUAGCGGUUGUACACUUGUAUUAUUUACUUCUUUAUGGUUAAGAGAUGAUCUUUUUGUGCAAAACUUCUACCAGCCUUACCUGCCACUGUCUGCUUCUGAAUAAAUGAGUUAUUGGAUUUUCUACUGUUCUUUGGACAUAUCAUCUUGCUAAUAGAUUUCGUUUGAAGGACUUUUCUUAUGUUGUUCAUAAAACUCGAUUCAGCGUCGUUAUUGACUGACUGCUUACUUUUAUUGAUUUCGUUUUUGACACCCUCUGCACUCUAUCUCUUUCAGUGCCUUCUAGUUAAUGUCACUGUUCUAUUUCUAUAGAAGUAUAGUGACUGGUUUUAGUUGCCUACUUGAGGCAACAAUCUACACAGCCUAGAAUAGACUAAAUUCACUUUAUCACCACAACACAUGAAGCACCAAGUUUAUUACUCAAACCACAAUUUAAUGACCAUUAAAAUGCAUUUGGUGUGAAGCCAGAAGGGUAGAAAACUGUCUUCCUUUUCUAUGGUCUACUGCUAGCUAUUUUAAAUUUCCUAUGAACUUUUGCUUUCAACACGUCUAAUGGAAAAUUCAGGGUCUUGAAGCCCCAUUUCAAUUUACAGCUGAUAUGGUCGAGGAUUAAAGUUGCAAAUAAUAAUUUAGGUUCAUCCAAGUCUAAAAUGGUUUUUGCAUUUCGUUUAUUUGAAACAAUCAUGCAACACAAACUUACAUACAUGCAAUGUGCAUUGUAGUUCUCAAUUUUUUCACUUUUGGGUAGCUCAAACCCUUUUGUACUUGUUUUCACUAGUUUCAUUUAGUUGCACACAGUUCUUAACUCCUAUGUACUGCAGCAUUGUAUGGCAAUCUCAGCGUAAAAGAAGUCUUUGGAUCUCACUGGCUUCACAUGGUAUGACUAUCACGCCUUGCUGGUAAUAUCCAAAUUCUCUUUCUGCUUCUUCUAGUAACUUGAUAAAUGUAGGAUGAGAAAGAUAAUCUAAAGCCAAUGAGAAUUUCCUUGGCUCUGCAUUCACCCCUAGAGCGAGCACCGAAAAGUGCCCUUUCUUUGUUGAAGUUGUAACUUGAGCUUUCCACUUCUUCCAGUUGCUGAUUUUGUGGAGAAACAUCUUUUUAGAAAGCUUCAUGAUCUUCUUGACCUCGGCAAAAUAGUCCCCACAUAUCACUUCUGUUUUUUGGUUUUUCUUGCUCAUUCUUGCUAAAAUAUGUUGAGAAAAGUGCAAGUUUUUGUUUUUCUAUUGUGAAAGUUUUAAGUGAUAUUUCCAAAAGAAUUGGAAUCUCCUAUUUAUAGUAUCUGACUACCGUGUCCGCCUUUAUUUUCUCAUUUGACAAGCUAUUUUUUGGGUUAUCCAACUUGUCCUCCCCACAAAGGGACACAAUGGAAAUGUCACUGUUGGAGGGGGUCUUUGGGAACAUGGAUUGCCAGUAACCAAUCCUAUUUAUCCAGUUUACAUUUUCAUUUUGACACUGUUCUCUUCCGUGGAUUGUCGAACGAAAAUCUAAUUGUCUUGUACUUCCUCUGUCCUUUACUUCUAUGUUUCCGCUUGUUCUCUUUAGUAUAAUUCAGAAACUCUUGAAAGCCAAUUCGUACACGAUUCUAAAUUCUAAUCCGAUGCAUAAUUUGAAUUCAUGACAUGCACUUAACUCCCUUACUAUUGAACCAAAAACCCCAUUCUCUAAUUCAUACCCCACCCCCAUUGUAUGGUACCAUAUAGUGUGUAUUGGAAACAACCUCUCUAUACAUACACAAUACUCUCCGCAUAGAUUUACACUGCAUAUAUUGUUGUUAUUAUUGGUACCAUACAGUGUGUAUACACAAAUGUGGUUAGGGUUGACACCAUAGAAAGUUGGGAAGGAGAAAAGGACUGUUCACCAUAGAUGUAUAUUUAUUGGGUAGUAAAGAAUUUGAAUGGUAAGAAUACAAGAAACGAAGCAUUUACAGGUUCAGGUACAUAAAUAAUCAGCUUGGUACAAUGUACUUUGGAUAGAUAUUAAUAUUCAUGCUAAGUUGCCAUGAUAGUAACGUUUUUGCUAUCUUCCCAGCUGGCCCCUUGUCCCCAGCCUCUUAUGCUUUCUUCAAUUCACUCCACUACGUGGACUAAUAUGAACUACAGUUCAGUUCAACAGUUGUCUACCUCAGAAUUCUUUUUUUCUUCACAAAA